rnacentral:rRNA from 1 species
GGUCAAGUUAUUAAGGGUGCAGGGCGGAUGCCUUGGCACUAGGAGCCGAUGAAGGACGUGAUAAGCUGCGAUAAGCUUCGGGGAGUUGCACGUAAACUUUGAUCCGAAGAUUUCCGAAUGAGGAAACUCACUUAGAGUAAUGUCUAAGUAUCAUUAAGUGAAUACAUAGCUUAAUGAGGGGAACUCAGGGAACUGAAACAUCUAAGUACCUGAAGGAAGAGAAAGAAAUUCGAUUCCGUAAGUAGCGGCGAGCGAACGCGGAUUAGCCCAAACCAAUAAAGUUUUCUUUAUUGGGGUUGCGGACAUAUCAUAACGAAGAGGUAUCGUAAUUGAAGAGGUUUGGAAAGACCCACCACAGAAGGUAAUAGUCCUGUAUGUUAAACGAGAAGACUUCAGAUAUGAUCCAGAGUACCACGGGACACGUGAAACCCUGUGGGAAGCAGGAGGGACCACCCUCCAAGGCUAAAUACUACCUAGUGACCGAUAGCGUAUAGUACCGUGAGGGAAAGGUGAAAAGAACCCCGGGAGGGGAGUGAAAUAGAACCUGAAACCCUGCACUUACAAGCUGUGGAAGCACAUUUCUUGUGUGACCGCGUACUUUUUGUAGAACGGGCCAACGAGUUACGUUAAGUAGCAAGGUUAAGCACUUAAGGUGCGGAGCCGUAGCGAAAGCGAGUUUUAACUGAGCGUUCAGUUACUUGACGUAGACCCGAAACCGGGCGACCUACCCAUGAGCAGGAUGAAGCGAAAGUAAAAUUUCGUGGAGGUCCGAACCCACGAGCGUUGAAAAGCUCGGGGAUGACUUGUGGGUAGCGGUGAAAUUCCAAUCGAGCCCGGAGAUAGCUGGUUCUCCCCGAAAUAGCUUUAGGGCUAGCCUCAAGGUGAGAGAUACGGAGGUAGAGCACUGAAUGUCCUAGGGGGUAUUGCACCUACCGAAGACUAUCAAACUCCGAAUGCCGUCAUCUUAUACUUGGGAGUCAGACUGUGGGUGAUAAGAUUCAUAGUCGAAAGGGCAACAGCCCAGAUCGUCAGCUAAGGUCCCUAAAUGUAAGUUAAGUGGUAAAGGAUGUGGGAUUGCACAGACAACCAGGAUGUUGGCUUAGAAGCAGCCACUCAUUCAAAGAGUGCGUAAUAGCUCACUGGUCGAGUGAUCCUGCGCCGAAGAUUUCCGGGGCUAAAACUUACUACCGAAGCUACGGCAUCAGUAAUGAUGGGUAGGGGAGCUUCCCAUACGGGUUGAAGCAUGACCGUAAGGACAUGUGGACAGUAUGGGAGUGAGAAUGUUGGCAUGAGUAGCGAGAUGUGGGUGAGAAUCCCACAGGCCGUAAACCCAAGGUUUCCAGGGGAAGGUUCGUCCGCCCUGGGUUAGUCGGGACCUAAGCUGAGGCCGAAAGGCGUAGGUGAUGGACAACAGGUUGAUAUUCCUGUACUACCGAUAACCGUUUGAGAGAAGGGAUGACACAGUAGGAUAAGCUAAGCACACUGUUGGUUAUGUGUGCCCAAGCAUUGAGGCAGUCAAAGUAGGCAAAUCCGCUUUGAUAAUGCUGGGAUGUGAUGGGGAGCGAAAUUUAGUAGCGAAGUAGCUGAUUUCACACUGUCAAGAAAAGUCUCUAUCGAGGUUAAAGGUACCCGUACCGCAAACCGACACAGGUGGGUGAGGAGAGUAUCCUAAGGCCAGCGAGAGAACUGUUGUUAAGGAACUCGGCAAAAUGACCCCGUAACUUAGGGAUAAGGGGUGC